GAUUCAGUGGCCUAAGUGGUUAGAGCGUCUACCUAGGACGCGGAAGGUUUCGGGUUUGAACCACGACCGAGUAUUACCA